GACGAACGCUGGCGGCGUGCUUAACACAUGCAAGUCGAACGGAAAGGCCCUGCUUUUGUGGGGUGCUCGAGUGGCGAACGGGUGAGUAACACGUGAGUAACCUGCCCUUGACUUUGGGAUAACGUCAGGAAACUGGGGCUAAUACCGGAUAGGAGCUCCUGCUGAAUGGUGGGGGUUGGAAAGUUUCGGCGGUUGGGGAUGGACUCGCGGCUUAUCAGCUUGUUGGUGGGGUAGUGGCUUACCAAGGCUUUGACGGGUAGCCGGCCUGAGAGGGUGACCGGCCACAUUGGGACUGAGAUACGGGCAAGACUCAUACGGGAGGCAGCAGUGGGGAAUAUUGCACAAUGGGCGGCAGCCUGAUGCAGCAACGCCGCGUGCUGGAUGACGGCCUUCGGGUUGUAAACCGCUUUCGCCUGUGACGCAGCGUGAGUGACGGUAAUGUGUAAAGAAGCACCGGCUAACUACGUG
rnacentral:rRNA from 1 species